rnacentral:ncRNA from 2 species
UCAGCUCGUGUGGGAGAGAUCCGGGUCGGACCACGUCCGACCCGGGCGCCGAAGGGGCAACAUCCCCGGAACCUCUCAGGCGGAAGGACCACACGGGAUCA